rnacentral:rRNA from 1 species
AGCCGCCGCGGUAACACCGGCGGCCCGAGUGGUGAUCGUGAUUAUUGGGUCUAAAGGGUCCGUAGCCGGUUUGGUCAGUCCUCCGGGAAAUCUGAUAGCUCAACUAUUAGGCUUUCGGGGGAUACUGCCAGACUUGGAACCGGGAGAGGUAAGAGGUACUACAGGGGUAGGAGUGAAAUCUUGUAAUCCCUGUGGGACCACCUGUGGCGAAGGCGUCUUACCAGAACGGGUUCGACGGUGAGGACGAAAGCUGGGGGCACGAACCGGAUUAGAUACCCGGGUAGUCCCAGCCGUAAACGAUGCUCGCUAGGUGUCAGGCAUGGCGCGACCGUGUCUGGUGCCGCAGGGAAGCCGUGAAGCGAGCCACCUGGGAAGUACGGCCGCAAGGCUGAAACUUAAAGGAAUUGGGCGGGGGUAGCACAACAACGGGUGGAACGCCUGCGGUUUAAUUGGACUCAACGCCGGACAACUCGACCGGGGGCGACAGCAAUAUGUAGGCCAAGCUGAAGUACUUUGCCUGAAUCGCUGAGGGGAGGUGCAUGG